rnacentral:lncRNA from 1 species
CGAGGCCCGAUCCACUGUCAGGCCUUUUGUGGUUUGGCUGGGAGAAAAGGGCGGGGUCUCCCGAAGGGAAGGGGGUGUGGAGAGCUGAGCGCAGGACUGGCGCAGUUACACUUCUCCCUCCAUUCCCGCAUGCCCCCCAGCAAAAUGGAGGUGCAGAAUUCGGUUCCCAAGGCUGUGAGAAGUUACCCAGUAUUUGCAAUUUGAAGUACAAGAAAAGAAAAUCCGAAACCAGUUGCAAUUCUGAUAGCAGCGAGGGAAAGAAACGUACGAAGAGCUUGUUUGCUGUGGUUCUCUGUGGUGCGUGGUACCCGCCCACCACUGGUCAGACCCUCGCCCUGCUCUCUGAUUCUGUUUGUAUAAAGCAGCUAUAGCACAACAAGGAGAGGGUCAACGUAACAUCAUCUCAUCUGAUCCUUCACCGGCGUGACCCGCACAGGACGUGCUUCUCUUCAGUUCAGAUCUCACCAGUCAAACCUAAUCACAAAAUCACGCACAGCUGCAAGGAGGCUAGAGCACGUGAUCUCUGACAGGAGUCUCUUCUGUUGAAAACCUGCC